UGGGGAAUAUUGGACAAUGGGCGCAAGCCUGAUCCAGCCAUGCCGCGUGAGUGAUGAAGGCCUUAGGGUUGUAAAGCUCUUUCACCGAUGAAGAUAAUGACGGUAGUCGGAGAAGAAGCCCCGGCUAACUUCGUGCCAGCAGCCGCGGUAAUACGAAGGGGGCUAGCGUUGUUCGGAUUUACUGGGCGUAAAGCGCACGUAGGCGGUUUGUUAAGUCAGAGGUGAAAUCCCGGAGCUCAACUCCGGAACUGCCUUUGAUACUGGCAAGCUAGAGUCCGGAAGAGGUAAGUGGAACUCCUAGUGUAGAGGUGGAAUUCGUAGAUAUUAGGAAGAACACCAGUGGCGAAGGCGGCUUACUGGUCCGGAACUGACGCUGAGGUGCGAAAGCGUGGGGAGCAAACAG
rnacentral:rRNA from 1 species